CCUGCCCUCGGCGGGAGGUUGGGAAGGACAUUCCCCCAUUUCCAUUUGCUCUGCCAUUCAAAACCUUGUGAGGGCCCUCAGGGAAGAAUCCCUUUGCAGAUGAGGAAACUGAGACCACACUAGGUGAAGUGGCAGAUCUGAUUCUAGAGCCCAGGUGCCCUCAGUGUCAGCCCCUGCCAUUCUGACCACGCUGCACUCAGAUCUUGUUCUACUCUCUGGAGUUUGUCCACAUCACAGUUUUCUGAUGCCUGCAUUAAUUUGAUUUCAGUGACCCACUGGAAACCAUUGUCAGCAUAACAACAGUUACCAGAGCUAAACCUACAA